CGUAUUAAUAUUGGAAUUUGGUGAUUUAACAUUGCAGAAACAGUAACGCCUGUAUUCCAAAAGCUCACUCACACUCACUGAGUGAAAGAUCGCAAUAACCUUAUAACCACUCUAUGACGGUAUUUCCACUCGGCCGAGAGCUCAGUUAUUUUACUGUGUCACCAGGGUGUUAGCCAGGCGGCCGGCCGACCGUCCUAUGGACGGCCACUUCUGAAUUUGGACGGCUAAAUUUUAAUGGAUGGCCAUGGACGGCCUAAGGGAAUAUUUUCUUUAAAAAGCA